rnacentral:rRNA from 1 species
UGAAGAAUUNUNNUAAUGGGCNAAAGCCUGACGGAGCAAUACCGCGUGGAGGAAAAAGAACACCCGUGGGUCGUAAACUNCUUUUCUCAGAGAAGAACACUGACGGUAUCUGAGGAAUAAGCACCGGCUAACUAUGUGCCAGCAGCCGCGGUAAUACAUGGGGUGCGAGGUUUAUUCGGAAUGAUUGGGCGUAAAGCGUUCGUAGGUGGUUUCACGAAGUCCACUGUCAAAGAUCAGGGCUUAACCUUGGGCAGGCAGUGGAAACUCGGAAACUCGAGUCAGGUGGGGGCUGAAGGAAUCAACAGCGUAACAGUGAAAUGUGUAGAUAUUGUUGAGAACACCGAUGGAGAAAUCAUUCAGCUGGGCCAUGACUGACACUGAGGGACGACAGCUNGGGGAGCAAAAAGGAUUAGAUACCCUUGUAGUCCUAGCCGUAAACGAUGGAGACUAAGUGCUGUCAAAAAACAAAGCUGUGGCUUAAGCGUUUAAUUUCCCCCCCUGGGGAGUNUGNUGGCAA